GAUGAACGCUAGCUACAGGCUUAACACAUGCAAGUCGAGGGGAAACGACAUCGAAAGCUUGCUUUUGAUGGGCGUCGACCGGCGCACGGGUGAGUAACGCGUAUCCAACCUGCCCAUCACUUGGGGAUAACCUUGCGAAAGUAAGACUAAUACCCAAUGAUAUCUCUAGAAGACAUCUGAAAGAGAUUAAAGAUUUAUCGGUGAUGGAUGGGGAUGCGUCUGAUUAGCUUGUUGGCGGGGUAACGGCCCACCAAGGCAACGAUCAGUAGGGGUUCUGAGAGGAAGGUCCCCCACAUUGGAACUGAGACACAGUCCAAACUCCUACGGGAGGCAGCAGUAUGGAAUAUUGGUCAAUGGACGAGAGCCUGAACCAGCCAAGUAGCGUGCAGGAAGACGGCCCUAGGGGUUGUAAACUGCUUUUAUAAGGGAAUAAAGUGAGAGUCGUGACUCUUUUUGUAUGUACCUUAUGAAUAAGGACCGGCUAAUUCCGUG
rnacentral:rRNA from 1 species